rnacentral:lncRNA from 1 species
GCACGCGUGCCAGGCCGCCGUCGAGGCCGUGCUCAAGGGCCAACCCGUCGUGCAGGUCGACGCCGCCGCCGCACCGCCGCUGAUGCUCGGCGGCCGCAGGUUCGACAUCCGCCAUGUCGCCAAGGAUCCUGACGCCGCCGCCGCGGCAGACCUCCUCCGCGUCGCGCGUGGACGCAAGCGCGCCGCGUCGUCGUCUUGCACCUCCUCCAAGCCCAGCGGCAACAAGCAGCGGCGCGCGUCGACUGGCGACAACGACGAACCUCUGACGCGAAGGCCUGGACAAGAGGCGGAGGAGGAGCCGGAGCCGGUCGUUGAGCACGACCAC